rnacentral:rRNA from 1 species
AAGGAUGUGGCGUUGCCCAGACAACUAGGAUGUUGGCUUAGAAGCAGCCAUCAUUUAAAGAGUGCGUAAUAGCUCACUAGUCGAGUGACACUGCGCCGAAAAUGUACCGGGGCUAAACAUAUUACCGAAGCUGUGGAUUGUCCUUUGGACAAUGGUAGGAGAGCGUUCUAAGGGCGUUGAAGCAUGAUCGUAAGGACAUGUGGAGCGCUUAGAAGUGAGAAUGCCGGUGUGAGUAGCGAAAGACGGGUGAGAAUCCCGUCCACCGAUUGACUAAGGUUUCCAGAGGAAGGCUCGUCCGCUCUGGGUUAGUCGGGUCCUAAGCUGAGGCCGACAGGCGUAGGCGAUGGAUAACAGGUUGAUAUUCCUGUACCACCUAUA